AGUGAACGCUGGCGGUAGGCCUAACACAUGCAAGUCGAACGGCAGCACAGUAAGAGCUUGCUCUUACGGGUGGCGAGUGGCGGACGGGUGAGGAAUACAUCGGAAUCUACUUUUUCGUGGGGGAUAACGUAGGGAAACUUACGCUAAUACCGCAUACGACCUACGGGUGAAAGCAGGGGAUCUUCGGACCUUGCGCGAUUGAAUGAGCCGAUGUCGGAUUAGCUAGUUGGCGGGGUAAAGGCCCACCAAGGCGACGAUCCGUAGCUGGUCUGAGAGGAUGAUCAGCCACACUGGAACUGAGACACGGUCCAGACUCCUACGGGAGGCAGCAGUGGGGAAUAUUGGACAAUGGGCGCAAGCCUGAUCCAGCCAUACCGCGUGGGUGAAGAAGGCCUUCGGGUUGUAAAGCCCUUUUGUUAGGAAAGAAAAGCAGCAGGUUAAUACCCCGCUGUUCUGGCGGUACCCAAAGAAUAAGCACCGGCUAACUUCGUG
rnacentral:rRNA from 1 species